AAACCUAAAGCCCCAAAACGGGAUCGAAUCUCACUUCGUCACUGACUCACUGUCAGUCCCACUUCGCCGUCGCUGAUCAAGCCUUCGCCGUCGCCCUCUCACAUCGUCGUCGCUGAUCAGUUCUUCGCCGUUGCUAUCUCACAUCGCUGUCGCUCUCUCUCUCUCUGUCUGUCCUCACCGCGCCCCUCCUCCCCAAAGCUCAUCCGUCAGCCUCCAGCCUUACAUCUUAACGAGUUAACAUUGAACCCAUUCGCAACCUUUUUGCUGCCCUUUUCCUUGCCAGCAUUGGGAUGCUGAUUCAUGUUCAGUUUCUCUGGAAUCAUGUUGAUAUAUUUCUCGCGUCUGUCAUCUUAGUUAUCAUCAUAAAAACAAUUAUUAUAACCAUGGUUGUCAAGGGAUUUGGAUACAACAACAAAACAUCAUUCCUAGUUUGAAUAUCUCUAGCACAGAUAGGCGAAUUUGCUUUUGUUCUUUUAAGUCGUGCCUCUAAUCUCCAUCUAGUCGAGGGGAAAUUAUAUCUGCUGCUGCUUGGAACCACAACACUUAGUCUGGUAGGAUAUAAUCUUCAUU